CUCUCCUCUUCAAAAAUCUUCAUCUUCCUCAUCUGUUGAAGGAUCAUCUGCAUCGAGGUUGGCAGCAGGAAUCUGAUCUACAGAGGCUUCUUUGACACUGAAGAGGAUGUUGAUUGUUCUAAGGUGGAGUGGGAGCAACAUAAGAUGGGGCCAGCUGUCCAACUAUGCCACAUCACAACAGGAAAAUACUUAAGUCUCAUGGAAGAGAAAAGCCUUCUACUCAUGGACAAGAAAAGGCAGAUGUAAAAUCAACUAUUUACCUUCUGGUCUUCUAAGGGGCCUGGAUGCUCUCAGCAAGAAGGCUAAGGCUCCCUUGGCUGACCUGCCCUUUCAGUCAGUGAGCCUGAGUCUGCAGGACCUCAUUGGCUACUUCCACCCACCCAAUGAGCACUUGGAGCAUGAGGACAAGGAGAACGGUGUGCAUGUCCUGAAGAAUUGGCAGAACUUCCUCCAGGAAGAGGGAAUGAUCAGGCAUGUUCUGGAGUGCACUGACCAACCACUCCUCAUGUCUGCAGCAGUGCCACACACUUGGCUGAUGACACUGGGUGAGAAGCUGGGGAUUCCUGGAAAUCCAUCCUAAAUUCUCUGUAUGAGUUUCUGGGCCAGUGGUGUUGCUGUGAUGACUGCUCACCUCUUUCCCAUGCAUGAUGUAAAGAACAGAGGAUACCCUCCCUGGUGCCCUGCACCCUUCUGGAUGACACAAUCAAGAAAUCAAAUGAGGAGAGCCUGCACAAGGCCAUGCACAUGCUUGUGGACUAUGGCUACAACCUAGAAGCCACGGAUAAGAAUAUGGUGUUGGUUUUGCUUUGCCACCUCUGCUUCCAAAUUCAUGAGUAGUUCUUCAAAGGACUGCUCUGCAUUAUGCCUGUGUCUAUGACCAGCCCAAAGUGGUGACAUUCCUGAUAAAGAUGAAUUGUGAUGUCAACAUCUGUGACGAUGACAACAGCACAGCACUCAUUAAGGCUGUACAAUUCCAGGCGGAGGAGUGUGCCAUGAUUUUGCUGCAGUCUAGUGCAGAUCCAAAUGUGAUGGACGCCAGUGGCAACACUGCCCUGCACUAUGCCGUCUACAGUAAGAACACGUGCAUGGCAGCAAACCUGCUUAGGCACAAGGCGAUGAUUGAAGCAAAAAACAAGGACAGCCUCACUCCACUAUUACUUGCGCUGAAAGAAAACAAUCAGCAAAUGGCAGAAUUCCUAGUGGACAUGGGAGCGAGCAUCCACGCGACGGAUCAUCACGGACGAACGUCAUUGAUGCUCGCAGCAGGACACAAAAGCAAAGGAACAAUCAGGCUGCUGCUGCAAAAAGGAGUUGACGUGUGUUUGAAAGAUCACUCUGGCAGGACUGCAUUGUUCUAUGCAGUCAAUUGCAGUGAUAAUCUUAAAGAAAUAGCUGUUGCAUAUGAAGCAAAGCAAUGUGAAAUGUUUCAAAAUAAAUACCCAGCAGAAAUACUUGCAGGAAUGACAUCAGAGGAAGAGCAGACAAGACUUGAUGUCUGUGAAGUUAAUGAACUAAAGGAUGAACAACACUGCAGGGGACCUGAAAUAGAGAAAAUUGAAACCCCAGCAAUGUGGGAAGGUAGUGCUGCUGCUUCUGCCUCUAGUCAUGAUGAACUUCAAAAACCCAAUAAACAGCAGUUGGCUCUUGAGAAGGAACAUCAUGAUCAGGCAAAAAUUGAUAUGGACAAUGAGAGGGACAUUGUCGAAGAGAUUCUGCACAAUCAAAUUCUCUAUGAAAAAGAGCUGGAUGAUCUUAAGGAACAACUACAAUAUUCAUCGUCACAGUGUGCUUAUCUAAAUGUGGAAAAUCAGUUCCUGAGGCAGGAGGUUCUGUCUUUGGAAGAAUUAAAAAUCACAUUUCAAAAACUGGAGGAAGAGAGAAACCAAUUGGAGGAAAAAUUGUCAACCCUUCAAUCUAGAGAAAAUGAUUCGGUGGAAAUUGAUCCAAGAGGACAGUACGAAGCAGCCAGUGAAAAGACAGGGAUGGAGAAAACAUUGGAGGAAACGGUGCAAUCUUUACAGACAAAGAUCUAUUUACACCGAUUAAGAGAACAUCACGAUGCGUCCAUGAGAAAUAAGAUGAAGCUGAACAUUCAAGAAAUGAAAGCCAAACUUUUUGACAUGAACAAUCAAGUUUACGCUUAUAAAAUGGAGCUGGAACAGUACAAGCAGCUCUAUUUAGACGAAAUGGACAGGAGAAUGUCAUUGUCUGAUGAACUUAGCAUGCUGCUUGAGUUCUUGUGACCACCAAGUGAGUUAUCUGGUUCUCCCCUGGAGGAUGCUGCUGUGAAUUAUUCUGGAGGACGCAGUGCUCGUUUCCUUCCAUCUGAUGUGUGGACUCUGCAGAUCGUGAGAGCAUGUGUUGACAAUGCCUUUGGGGGUACAUCUUCAAAGGCAUAAACUGUUUUCACUAAACACAAGUAUUACUGCCUUGACUCUUUGAGUAUUAUAUAUGCAUAUAUUUAGGCAGCAUAUCAUGGUGUUUUAAUGUACAUAGUAUUAGAAUAGGCCAUUAGAAUCACCUAAAUCAGCAUAUGCAUCAUCUCACAGUUACCCUGUGAACAGUGUACUGCUAACAGCAUCUUGCAGGGUCUUAGGAGUGGAGAACUUCCAGAGGGCAGAGGUGUCACCUGUUGACCACACUUCAUUGAUAGUUAUUUCUCCCUCCCCCUCUGUUUGAGCUGUGAGUUAGUUUGAAUAUUAGUUUUUCCCCCUAGGAAUAUAUGUAGCUCAUUCAAGCAAUUUGAAGCUUAAAAUUAACUGUACGCGGUAGGUCUGCUCUGACACGUUUAGGAUUAAAACACUGUUGAGUGGAAAACUCCAUUUACUCUCAUGGUACUUUCUGAAGAAUGCACUUCAUUUAGGGAAAAUGAGAAACUAAUGAUUUUGUUUUCCAAUCUUUGCAGGAUGAAGGAAAGGCUAACAGAAGUCAGUAAUGAACUUGCAAGACGUUGUAAUGUUCAGGAAACAUCAAUGAUCCUAAUGCACACCACCCAUGUUGAAAUAACAGCAUGCAGAACUGUGGCUGCCAGCUCUACCUCUCUUUCAAGUGAGCAGUA